rnacentral:rRNA from 1 species
AACGCGAAGAACCUUACCUGGGCUCGAAAUGUAGUGGAAUCCGGUGGAAACAUCGGCGUCUAGCAAUAGACCGCUAUAUAGGUGCUGCAUGGCUGUCGUCAGCUCGUGUCGUGAGAUGUUGGGUUAAGUCCCGCAACGAGCGCAACCCUUAUUACCAGUUGCUACCAUUUAGUUGAGCACUCUGGUGAGACUGCCUCGGAUAACGGGGAGGAAGGCGGGGAUGACGUCAAGUCCUCAUGGCCUUUAUGUCCAGGGCUACACACGUGCUACAAUGGCCGGUACAAACCGUCGCAAACCCGUGAGGGGGAGCUAAUCGGAAAAAGCCGGCCUCAGUUCGGAUUGGAGUCUGCAACUCGACUCCAUGAAGCUGGAAUCGCUAGUAAUCGCGGAUCAGAACGCCGCGGUGAAUACGUUCCCGGGCCUUGUA